UAAUUGGCUAAUUCAACAGCAAAUCAACCUCUGUGAGUAAUGAUUGCAUGUCUUCAGUAAUUUUCAUUUUUGGUCCUUUAUUGAUCGACCUUUUUUUGCCAUCAUUUUACCUUGAAUUUUGGUUAUUUGUUUCACCAUCAGUUCAACUCUUUCUCAGUUUGUUCAUCGUCAUCAUGGAAGUCAUCCAAUUUGAAUUUACAUUAAACCGUGAAUCAACUAAAAACCGUUGGGUUGAGCUUUUCUUCUUCUUCUUUUUACAUGUUAAUUCAAUGAUGUUCAUGGUGCUGAUGGUGGAUUAAUUGUUAUUGUUUAUUCUUUACACGAACUGAUCAUUCAAGGUAAUCCUCAAUCCAACCAGCUUGUAGUAAUUUAAUUAAUAAACUGAUAUUGCUGUUAUGUUGUGAUGUUUCCUGCUCAUUAACUCUUCUUAAAGCAAUUGAAUCAAUCUUCAUGGUAUCAAAAUAAGGCUACCAAUAUUUAUUAAAUUGCAGUAAUUGUCCGUUUAACUCAUCAUUUGUUUUUAUCUGAAAUUUUGGUGAAUCAUCAGAAAAAGGAUAAGUUUUCUUCAUAAUAAUCAUGCCGAUUCUAAGCAUGAGCUAUCUUUGUUGUUUAUUCAGGUUGCCCCAGGAACCGGUAGCUUGAUAAUCAAUGGUUAAUCAAUUGUUAACAUUAUGUGGCUUGUUAACCGUUUUUCCAACAUUUCAACAAUAAUGCUACUCUAGUCCUCAUUUUCUUUUGAUAUGCUACUCAAUCAUCAUCAUAAUCAUCAUCAGGCUCAAUUUUAAAGAGUCCAUGUUGUAUUCUUUCAUCAAAAUAAUCAAGGAAUGUCAGUCAAUUUUGAUCCAGUUAGUUCAAACAUACGAACAUGCCUGGUUAACUCAUCAUCUUCGCCAUCAGCCUCAAUCGUACCAUCAUCUUCAACAGAAUCGUCUACAUUUUACAAGUUAAUUGCUUUUCCAUCUAACUCUGCUUCAUCUUCAUCCUUGUCUGUCAACAGUCAAGAUAAUAACAAGAAUUAUCAACAUAAUGAUCAGCAAGAAUGUUUGGAUAAAAAUUUAAUGGCUAAACAUUGUUUAUCCGAAUCAACAUCUCCAUCCUCAUCGUCUUCUACUUCUCCGUCCUUACACCAUGGUAUGACCAACGAGUUGCGAAGAUCACUAGAUAACCGUUAUUCAAAAGUCAAAGGAUUGGAUCAAGAAUGGUAUUCCGCUAGGAAAAGGCAAUUGGAUGAGAUUCUGGAUAAAUUGCAGCACCUUCAUAAAUUAAACUUAGAUGACCGUGAAAACAUUGAAGGGAUGAAAAAGAAAACUAUAAAAUUAAUUGCUACCUAUUCCAAUAUCACAAUGAAGACAAACAAUUUUCUAUCUCGCUGGGAACGGAAACAUGGUUCUAAACUCAAAAGCUAUCAAAGCUCAACUUUAUCAUCAUCUCCAACACCUUCAACCUUUUCCUCAUCAGAUGUCUAUGACGAUAAAUAUGAGCCUGACUUUUUAUUUAAUACUUCAAGAGCCUGGUAAAGAGUGAAAGUGUAUUCCAUCACCAUUGGCUUUUUUACAAUUAAUCUUUAAUAUAAUAACAUUUUUGGAUGAGUAAGGCUUAAUUAACCACAGCCAAAACGUAAAAAGAAAUCCUUGCCUCAUUACUUCAUGUUCCUGUUAAACAGAUUUAAUUCCCAUUUUUAUUUUAUAGUAUAUUUUAUAUUGUGAUUCUGGUUUUGUUGUUUAAUCCUCUUACAUAUCAGAGCUUUAAAAUAAUCUGAUUGUUCACAAUCAAGUGAAUACAACUGCCAAAGUGAAAAGCGGGUAAAUUUAAAGUGAAAAAACUAUCAUCAUCAAUAGCCAAGUCACAACUUACCAAAGGAUAAAGAAAGACUUUAUUAAAACUUGAAAAAGAUGAACAGAUGAAAAUGUACAAAAUUAUGUUAAACUAUCAGAAAUGAACAUAAUAACAUGGUAUUACUACUGAAACUUCCAAAAAUAUUGAUCCUGAUGGUGACCUUGGCCUUAUAAAAAGAGGAGUUGAAUUGUUCGUUCCUCAUGUUAUAAGAUGUGUUACUUACCCAUAAAGACCUUCAAGGACAACCUGAUCGAUUUUUUCUCCUACAUUUUUACUUGAUCCUUCUUACGAGGUUUAUAUUUUUGGAAUCAGACUGAGAUGUAAAUGUACGAGCAAGAGAUAUAAAUAUAAUUUUAUGGAUAACAUGGAUGGUAAUAAACAGAAUCAUUAGGGGAUGCAAAAAAAAUUAAACUCUACAUGGAUAAAGAUUUAAACCAAGGAAGACUGGAAGAAAACAAAACUCAGACUUGUUUUGUAUUAUUUUGCCAUAAUUUACAUUAGUACAUGUUUUGACUUUUCAUCUUUUUCUUGCACUUCUUUUGCCUUCUUUUACCCUCUUUGCCUGAGAAGAGAGCCUUUUUAACCAAUUAAUGAUCUCGUAAAUUGUGAACUGUCAAACAAUAAAUCUCAUUGUUAAAAAA